GACCUCCAACCCUUUGUUGUUAAAACUACCUUGUUGCUUUGGCGGGACCGCUCGGUCUCGAGCCGCUGGGGAUUCGUCCCAGGCGAGCGCCCGCCAGAGUUAAACCAAACUCUUGUUAUUUAACCGGUCGUCUGAGUUAAAAUUUUGAAUAAAUCAAAACUUUCAACAACGGAUCUCUUGGUUCUCGCAUCGAUGAAGAACGCAGCGA
rnacentral:misc_RNA from 1 species